rnacentral:rRNA from 1 species
GACGAACGCUGGCGGCGUGCUUAACACAUGCAAGUCGAACGGUGAAGCGCUUGCCUUUUUGGUGGGUGUGGAUGAGUGGCGAACGGGUGAGUAACACGUGAGUAACCUGCCCUCUUCUUCUGGAUAACCUCAUGAAAGUGGGGCUAAUACGGGGUAUUCCGGGUCUGUCGCAUGGCGGGUUUGGGAAAGAUUGCGCCUUUGGGUGUUUUCGGUGGGGGAUGGGCUCGCGGCCUAUCAGCUUGUUGGUGGGGUGAUGGCCUACCAAGGCGGUGACGGGUAGCCGGCCUGAGAGGGUGGACGGCCACACUGGGACUGAGACACGGACCAGACUCCUGCGGGAGGCAGCAGUGGGGAAUAUUGCACAAUGGGCGCAAGCCUGAUGCAGCGACGCCGCGUGAGGGAUGGAGGCCUUCGGGUUGUGAACCUCUUUCGCCAGUGAAGCAGGCCUGCUCCUGUGUGGGUGGGUUGACGGUAGCUGGAGAAGAAGCGCCGGCUAACUACGUG